rnacentral:lncRNA from 1 species
UGCUUUCAUUGUUUUAUUUGUAAUGGAACAUUUACAACAUUUAACUAAUCACAGAUUCAAGAAAUUUUUUUUGAAUUAUAAAGGUGUUCCUUCAGGUGAGGGGCUCUAUGAUGAGAACAAGAUGUGUUUUUAUCAGGGGCUUUCUGAUGAGACAAGAUAAACACAAUGUCCAAAGAAAGAGAAACACUAUCCACCAAUUGUGGUGGAUGAAUGAUUAAAUGCCAUGUCACCUAAUACCAUGCCAAUAAUGAAAAAAGAAAAAGAUGUUUUGAGAGCAUCUUAUGUUAAAAUCCAUGGGAAGAAGCAGCAUAGAUGUUUUAACAUUUAAUGGUUCAUAGUUUACUGCCUGCUGAGACCAAAGUCACUGCUACCUUUUUCCGCUUUUAUAUUGGAAUAACUUUUUAUACAUCAAAGGUAUCUAGGGGAGUGAAUAACAUACCAGGGUAUUUGCAGCCUGCCAUCAGUCAUAUUCCUUUUGGAAAAUCGCUCACGUAUUUUGGGCUUCUUCUUGCAUCUUGGGUGUUCUUUGUGUUUAUAGCGUUUACGAUUUUCCUACCUGUUAUUGUACCUCAGAAGUUUGCUCUGUGUUUUACUGUUGGAUGUCGCUUUAGAAUAAGGUAAUUCCUCAUGCUCAAACGGCCGAAAAAUCAGCAUCUACAAAUGACAUUAAGUAAGGUACUUGCGUAAGACUGGAAGGUAUGGAGGAGGCAAGUCCUCCAAGGAUGGGCCGCCACGUCACUGCCACGUAGGAGUGGCUUGGAGGGGAUGGACCUAGG